rnacentral:rRNA from 1 species
GACGGAGGGUGCAAGCGUUGUUCGGAUUUACUGGGCGUAAAGCGCGCGCAGGCGGUCGUUCAAGUCGGGUGUGAAAGCCCCCGGCUCAACUGGGGAGGGUCACUCGAUACUGAUCGACUCGAAGGCAGGAGAGGGUAGUGGAAUUCCCGGUGUAGUGGUGAAAUGCGUAGAUAUCGGGAGGAACACCAGUGGCGAAGGCGACUACCUGGCCUGUUCUUGACGCUGAGGCGCGAAAGCUAGGGGAGCAAACGGG